UACAGAGGUCUCAAGCGUUUGUUCGGAUUCAUUGGGCGUAAAGGGCGGGUAGGCGGCCACCGCAAGUCAGUUGUGAAAUCUCCGGGCUUAACCCGGAAAGGUCAACUGAUACUGCGGGGCUAGAGUGCAGAAGGGGCAACUGGAAUUCUCGGUGUAGCGGUGAAAUGCGUAGAUAUCGAGAGGAACACCUGCGGCGAAGGCGGGUUGCUGGGCUGACACUGACGCUGAACUGCGAAAGCUAGGGGAGCGAACAGG
rnacentral:rRNA from 1 species